AGUGAACGCUGGCGGUAGGCUUAACACAUGCAAGUCGAACGGCAGCACAGUAAGAGCUUGCUCUUACGGGUGGCGAGUGGCGGACGGGUGAGGAAUACAUCGGAAUCUACUUUUUCGUGGGGGAUAACGUAGGGAAAAUUACGCUAAUACCGCAUACGACCUACGGGUGAAAGCAGGGGAUCUUCGGACCUUGCGCGAAUGAAUGAGCCGAUGUCGGAUUAGCUAGUUGGGGGGGUAAAGGCCCACCAAGGCGACGAUCCGUAGCUGGUCUGAGAGGAUGAUCGGCCACACUGGAACUGAGACACGGUCCCGACUCCUACGGGAGGCAGCAGUGGGGAAUAUUGGACAAUGGGCGCAAGCCUGAUCCAGCCAUACCGCGUGGGUGAAGAAGGCCUUCGGGUUGUAAAGCCCUUUUGUUGGGAAAGAAAAGCAGCAGGUUAAUACCCCGCUGUUCUGACGGUACCCAAAGAAUAAGCACCGGCUAACUUCGUG
rnacentral:rRNA from 1 species